CUACGGGUUGCAGCAGGCGCGAAACUUCUACAAUGCGCGAAAGCGUGAUAGGGGGAUUCCUAGUGCUAGCUUUGCUAGCUUUUGUUAGGUGUAAAUAACCUGGCGAAUAAGUGGAGGGUAAGACACGUGCCAGCCGCCGCGGUAAUACGUGCUCCGCAAGUGGUAAUCGUGAGUAUUGGGCCUAAAACAUCCGUAGCCGGUUUGGUGUGUUCUUUGUGAAAUCAGCAGGCUUAACUUGCUGAAUUGCAGAGAAUACUGCCUGGCUAGAGGCCGGGAGACGUAAAUGGUAUUUCAUGGGUAGCGGUGAAAUGUGAUAAUCCAUGAAGGACCACCAGUAGCGAAGGCGAUUUACGAGAACGGACCUGACGGUGAGGGAUGAAAGCUGGGGGAGCGACCCGGAUUAGAUACCCCAGUAGUC
rnacentral:rRNA from 1 species